rnacentral:lncRNA from 1 species
GCAAGAGCACUCUUAAUUUAUUCUUCCAUGCUGAGGACCUCACCACCAUGCUUGGAUGUUUGUAAAGGCUUUUUGGAAUGGUCAUUCCAAAAAGAGAAAGGCAGACAACCAGUGCAGUCUGUCAACUCCUCCAAAAUGUAUCCUUCUCCAGGUGUCCUCAGUCUCUUAGAGUGGACAGGUCAUGUCCCCUUCUCAACCUGUCUGCAGCCAUGAACUCCAAACUCUGGUUUUGUAUCAGCUGUGCACAAAUUGGGAGUCUCCAAGUUCCCUAUCCCUUUCUGUGGAUCCCUGUCUAUACUGGAAUUCAGUGGGUAUUUUUUCCAGUGGUUUUUCUGACAUGAUUUUUAGGAACUGAAGCUGGAAUCAGGAACAUAGAACAUUUUAAAUAUUAAUUAAUCCAAAUAAAUUCAGUCUCCAGAGUGCAGAAUCCAAGUUACAGGAUAUGCCAACAACCUCAUUUCACUUCAAUAUUAUUCAGGUGCAACAUUAUUUUGAAACUGACUAAUGAUAAUUCUGACAGCUUACUUAAUUUUGUUUAUGAUGUACAGAAAUGGCUUUCAAAGUUUUAUUACUGUAUAGCUACAAAACCCUUUAUAGCUGUACCUGAGUUCUAUUCAAGUUCACACUCACCUCCCAUGAAAGCAGUUAGUACAUCAUUGCUCUGGACAGCUGACCUGUCUGGACAGAGUCAGCAUGGAAAUCUGAUAGGAAGCAGUCAGAAUCAGAGGAACUCUGAGGGCUAAAAUGCAGAAUUUUAAGACUUCAGGGUUAUAUCCAUAAAGUUAAAGACUGUGGGUACUUUGCAGGCUGGUCAUUGAAGAUAUUUAAGCUCUUCAGUUGUAUGAGUUUGCUCAGGUUACCUCUUACAAGCUGCUUUCUGCACACACAGAACAUUGUGAAGUAAUUCCUGGUGAGGAUGAAGACAGUUACAGGCAGUGCUACCCAGAUGUGUGACUUGUUUACAACUGAACUUUGGGAGUAGCAGCAAAGCUGAAUGAAAUACAUUAGGACCUUACCAAAAAAAUGCAGCUUUCUUUUCAAGUCAUAUAUUUUGAAGGCCAGGCCUUUGGUCUCAGUUGCUCUCAGCAGUAUUGUUCUAAUGGACACAAUAGACAUAAGAAAUCCCAUGUUGCUAUUUCUACUAUUGUGUUGCCAAGUGACUAAAGGGAGUCAUGUAGGCCCCCUCAUGAAGAGUGCCCAUCCAUGCUGGGGUUCUGCAUGCUCAGUUUAAAAUAUCUAGGGUGCUGACAUGCAGAUGCUUUAAGAAACAACUUCUAGAAGGACCAGGACCUCUUAAAAUCACAUCUUAACUUUUCAACAGGAGUACCUUGCUCUGGAGGUCACUUGCAUUUCCUCUUAAUCACUUCUCCAGAACUCUCCACUGGUGGAAUACUUGGUGCAGCAAAGAUCUGCUAAAAUACCAAUUUACCUUGUUGAGAAGUUGUCUUCCCCAAGACUCUGGAAACACUGCAGCAGUAAUUCCCCCAGCUUCAGUCAGUGCUCUGUGUGCACAUGUGGACACCGUGGCACCCAGGAGUACCAGACACCAGGUGCUGCUACCCUGAGCAGUGCAGGGGUUAAUUCCCAUGUACAAAGCAAGCCUUUUGUCACUUCAGUGUGCAUUUCUGCAUUGAUCCAUACAGGUUAUUUACUUAGGACAAGUUUCCCCUUGGGUGACUGAGCUUUGCAUAACUAGACACUUUAGAAAGGCACCUGCUCAGAAUUUGCUGAGAAUUCAUCCUGUGAAAAUUCUUCCCAGACUAAAGUGGGAGCCUCUCACCUUGUGCUGGAAUCACCACUAUGAUGGAACUGGUUUGUUCAGGUUUGGCCACCCAUGCUCAAAAAGAUACUUUAAUCAAGAAAAGACCACUGAAUGGCUAAAGAAGAAAGAAACAAUUGUGUAAGAAGUGUUGUUUUUUCCACUAUAGCAAUAUAGCAAGGGGAAAUCCUUGAUGUCUGCAAAUAAAUCACACAGAAAGAAAUCCACUGCAAUUACUUGGACAUAAGGUAACAGCAGCCAUCAGAAGAGCAGAAAUGUUGUUGAAAAAGGGUUGGGCCAUUGUAACUAAGGUACACAAAUCUAACUAUAAAGCUCUCACUUACCCUCUCCUCUUUUUGUUUAUUCUCCUCCUGCCCUUAAAUUGCAUGUAGAAAUAAUUUGACCUGGAACACAAGUUUUGUGGCUUUUUUUUUGUUGGUUUUUUUUUUGUUGGUUUUUUUGUUGUUGUUGUUGUUGUUGUUGUUUGGUGUUUUGUUUUUUUUUUCCCUGAAAGACACAAAAAGCAAAGGAAAUCUAAUGCAUUCUGUUUGUGUGUAAUAAUCCAAACUAAAAGGCAGCUUUGGCACAAUACUAAAUGUGAACAAACUAGUCAACCAAUAAUUCUAGACUGGAAAUUAAAGAAGGUUUCUAACAGAGUGGGAAAGACCUGGUUCUAUAACAGUGUUUCAGCAGGAGUUUGUGAUAGAUUGCCACUGGACUUGAUCCUUCUAGUCUGUCUCUUGUGAAAACAAGAGGCUGCUUUUUUCUUAUUAUUCAUACAGGUAUUCUUCUGCAGAGGUGGCACUGAACCAGAACAUCAGCUCCAAACUUCCUUCAACUUUGAGAAACUUGGAUUCUGAUUUGUGCUCCCCAGCUGGAGAUCAGCUGAAGACAUAGGUUGUAUUACACAUAUGCAGAGGAAAUGAAGCAGUUUUAUCAACUCACACCAGAAGAAAGAUAACACAAAUUUUCUCACACAAGUCUCACUUUAGAGAGUACUGCCUGAAGAUGGGCACUGGGUUUUGCUUGCAUAACUCUCAGACAGAAACAAAAAAAUGCCACGUUUUGCUGAGUUCUAUUGUCUCUCCCUCCUUUUGUAAGGAAAUUAAAGCCUAUUUCUCUCCUAGUUCCAUGAAAUCUAUCUGAAUCCUGGUAAUAAGUCUCUGAGAAAUUGCUCAGAGGGAAUAACAGACAAGGGUACACCCUCCACUGCUAUGUUACUGCUCCAUGAGUUCCAGACAAAAGCAUUUCUUGUGGUUUGGCAGCAAGCAUCUACUCCUAAAACCCUGGGAUUGCAUUGUUCUUUACAUGUCAAAAGUUGAUUUAGUGCCCACAGGCACAGAUUGCAGGGUCCCUCUUUUUAGGAGGGAUCUUCAGGUUUUGUAGACUGCUGGGGUCACCUCUCACAGCCAGUGGCACCAUUUGGGACAGUCACACCCAAGUGGACUAUGAAGAACAGGCCCUCAGGUCUGCCCUGCAAUGAAUAUUCCAGGAUUUUUAUCCUGACCUAGGUUAAAUGGUAAUACUCCAGAAACUGAGCAACUGACUGCCAGGCCCAUAAUAACAACUCUGAAUCAUUAAAUAAAGAUACAUCUUCAGGAUAAAUUAUUGUUAAGGCUCCAAAAUAGUUCUGCUGUGUUUGGAAUUCUAAUAAUGGUAGGCAAGCUUGACUGGAACCUCUAAUGAUACAAAGAUC